rnacentral:rRNA from 1 species
UACGAACUGUGCAAACGUUAUUCGGAAUCACUGGGCGUAAAGGGUGCGUAGGCGGGUCUUUAAGUCAGGGGUGAAAUCCUGGAGCUCAACUCCAGAACUGCCUUUGAUACUGGCGACCUUGAGUCCGGGAGAGGUGAGUGGAACUGCGAGUGUAGAGGUGAAAUUCGUAGAUAUUCGCAAGAACACCAGUGGCGAAGGCGGCUCACUGGCCCGGUACUGACGCUGAGGUGCGAAAGCGUGGGGAGCAAACAGGG